rnacentral:piRNA from 1 species
UUAUGUAUUGGCCUUUUUGUU